UACGAAGGGGGCUAGCGUUGCUCGGAAUUACUGGGCGUAAAGGGCGCGUAGGCGGACAGUUUAGUCAGAGGUAAAAGCCCAGGGCUCAACCUUGGAACUGCCUUUGAUACUGGCUGUCUUGAGUUCGGGAGAGGUGAGUGGAAUGCCGAGUGUAGAGGUGAAAUUCGUAGAUAUUCGGCGGAACACCAGUGGCGAAGGCGACUCACUGGCCCGAUACUGACGCUGAGAGACGAAAGCUAGGGGAGCGAAUGGG
rnacentral:rRNA from 1 species